GUACCUGCCAGUGCAGGCAGUCCCUACUCCUCCCACCCCCACCUUUCCUGUCCUGGGCAGAAAGGCCGGCCGAGGCUUGCUCUGAAUGUGCACAUAAAACCCUAUGACCUGACCUGACCUGAUACCCUGUAGCCUAACUUGUAUAAUCUCAUGUCAUGUAUUUUCUAUAUUAUAUAGAAGAGAAAUAAGAUAAACAGGCUUUGUAAAUUCAGUCCAUUGCAUUUUUUUUUCCUGUUUUAUUUUCUGUCCAUGUGUACUGAAUACCAAAAGAAACGUAAAUCAGGUUUAUGGAUGUUUGAUAAUUACAUAGGUCUACUGGAUUACAAACUGUCAAUGUCAGCUAUCUGUAUAUACAAAAAUGUACAACAGGUGUUAUGGGCCAUUGGUGUUUAUACUGAAUAGACUGUGUGUCGGUCUGUCAAACUGUCAAUUCUGUGUUAUGAUAAACGGUAUAUCAAUCUGUAAUUCUCCUGAAUCUCUUUGUGUUAGUCUUGUCUUUAAAAAAACUAAAUUUAAAGCCGCUGACCUUAGUUUUAACUUGUAAAAAAUGGACACUGAGUUUAGUUAAUUUACAAACCCUGUAACUCAUUUGGAUAAAGUUACAAUAGAGUGAAAGAGGAGUCUGUGACAUUUAAACUGGGAAAUGUCCUUAAAAAUAAACUAGAACUCGAAUCAAUAACUGUUACUUCUCAGAUGCACAUGCAUUUUUUAAAAAUAUGAAAAAUGCAUUUUGUUUUGUAUUAUAAACACCAGGGUGACCAGAAACUCUUCUUUUCUAUGGAAAUAGAUAAUGUAAACAAUAAAAUGUAAGUAAUGUUUGAUUUCAGAGAUCAUAAACGGCUCUAACAGUGAGAAAUAUUCUUAUAGUGUUUAAAAACUAGGGUCUGUCCCUUUAAUGUCACAGCUGAAACUUACAUUCGCGUUUCUUUUGGCAUCCAGUAUAGUUUGAUGUGUUUGAUGCUUGGUGCUCUCACAGCAUUGUGUGGUAUAUCGGUUUUAAACUUGGUUUUUUAAUUACUGCAAAAGUAAUUACUUUGCAGUUAGUUGUGUGAAAGAUAUUUCCAAGUUUAAAUAUAAUGUACCACCUACACAUUUGGGUGUCAAUACUCACAGCCCAAAAUUUUCAAAUCUUGUUUGGAGACAAGUGAAUACUAACAGUUUGUCAAUCAGCUGAAGUAUUCGGGAUUGUUGUACAGGCCUGUAGGAACAAAAUCUGGAGAGGCGGAGGGAGGCACAACCUCAAGUAGAGGAGUGGGGGUGGGUGGAGCAAUAGAAAAACCCCAUACAUUUUCGACCUCAAGUGGGGGCAGUCUCCUCCCCCCCCCCCACCCCAGCCUCCCACAUACUUGUGACAGUUCAUUAGGGUAGAUUUUUAAAAGAUAAUUAAGUUUAAGCAAAUAUAUAUGUGUUUUCAGGAAUGCAACACAACCUUGCCUAAAAAAGGGCCGACCGUAUUUGUAUUUAUUUAUUUGUUUGAUGUAUUAUUUUAUUUAUUAUAGAUACAUAACAUUUGAUCUAGAACAGCGAUGAUGAAUGCAGUAAUAAUUAAGCAGAUAAACAAAAAAGACAAUCUACUGUGCCAUACCUAUUUUUUCUUUGUCACAUUCCCGAAAACACCCUUGUUUCAAGCAUCUCCUCCUUUACAAAUAUUGAGCAAUACGUUGUGGUUGAAGUUUAUUUUAAUGAACUAGCUACAUAACAUUUAUAUAUAUAUGUAAAAAAAAAAGGAGACAUUUUUAUGAAACUGUUGCUGAAACCUUGAAAAACACCCCUCCAUCACCCUAAUUUGUAAUAUAUCUCAUCAUACUCUUUCACCCCCGAGCCUUAAAACAGUUUGAAUGACGCCCUAACUAUAACCCAUUAUAUAUUAUUUAGGGUUGUGGUUAGAUUGGAUAUCAAUGUGUUCAGUAAUAUAAUGAAUUUACACGGCCAUACUUAGUAGUGGGGGUUAAAUUCCCCCCCCCCCCCCCCCCCCCCCCCCCCCCCGUCCAUAAAAAAAGUGCUGUUUUCAUUUAAAAUGUCCAUUAUGACUAGCUAGAUAAAAUUCUAAAUUACUAUAGGCAUAUCUCAAAUCUUAUGUUAAGUCCAUCCCUAUGACCCCACUCCCCCUAGUUAUUAUAGGCUAAGUACAACCCUGGAAUUAAAUUUAAAAAGACAGUCAAAUAAAUUAAAAUUUGUGAAAACCUCCCAUUGAUAAUGGCAACUUGUAACUAAGUAUGAAAUUUGUGUACAUAUGUUCACCAAAGAUUUUAAAUACAGUUUGUAUUUAGUUAAAAUGUUUCAUUCACUGGAUCAUCUGUUGUCAUCUAUUGUGCUAAUUUGUGAGUUUUGUUGGAAGCUGCAUCACUUCUUGUACUGUACUAUGAAAGGAAAUGUUUAUUUUUGGUUGUUUCUUUAAGUUAUUGUCUCCCUUUGUUUCAAUGAAUUGCCUGGUUUGAUAUUAAAGGUAAAUGCAACAUAA
rnacentral:lncRNA from 1 species